rnacentral:lncRNA from 1 species
UCUACUAUUGCUCCCACACUAUCAAUGCUACAAUUCUGCCUUAUAAGACCCAACGCAAACUUUCACAAAUUAAUAACUGUUAAGUGCUACCACCACCCACUCGCAUGGCCUUCCAUAUUCGAGUAAUGUGAAAAAAGAGAAAACUCCCAAGCCACAUGCUGCACUUCACCCCACACAAAAAUUGUCAACAAAGAACAGACCCCCACUUCUACACAAAUCAACCCCAAACACCAUCUACAACACUAAACUUGGAGUCUAAGACCCCAUUACAACCAAAAUCAAUAAUUCUACAUAGUAAGUACUACAUAAUUCAAAGUACACAAAAAAUAACAACUUACCUGAAUAUUACAGUGGAGCCUUAGGGAAAAAAAGAAAAAAAGAAGAACAUAUUUUGGGCGGUGUUGGAGAAGUAGGGGUGGUUUUGGAAACGGGGUUGUGUGUGGGAGAGGAGAAAUUGUGUAUGGGUCAGUAGGGUGGUGGGUUUGGUUGGAGGAAAGGAAGAAGAAGAAGGAACAAAAAUGGGGGUUCGUAGGUUGGAGGAAAGGAAGAAGAAGAAAGACUAAAAAUUGGGGUUGGGAAGAAGAAGACAGAAAAAAGAGGAGAGAAGAUGAGAG